rnacentral:lncRNA from 1 species
AGGCAAACAGAGUUAAAUGGCUUGUCCAGGCUCACAUAGUCUUGGGUCAGAUUUUAACUAAGGCAGAUGAGUCUUCCUGAUUCCAGAACUGAAGGAAGGAAGUCUCAGUGGAGCUUCCAAGGACCAUGGAGGAAUUUGUUCACUCUUCAUCUUGCUGUCCUGCUGCCCGGAGUCUGCUUUUAUUCAUAGCCCUCCAAAAGGACCCAUAAUUGCUGCUAGUUCUCCCCUCUCAAGCUCCAAAGCCUUGACUUUUAUUGACGUACAGCACAUGGAGGGAUGCAAACCUGGCACAACUGUGUGAUAUCAGGAAUGUUUGAUGGACAGGUCAAGCUAUUCAGGAGGGGGAGGGGAUGAACUUCCUUGACACCACAAAGCAAUGACAUUUACCCA